AAUAAAGGCUGCUUUUUCCUAUUGCUCUAGAGGAGGCUGUUGUAUUUCCCUAUUGACACAUCUGUACGGGUGUGUAUAAAUGUAUAUGUAUAUGUGUAUAUUGUUUGUAGGCGCCCGGAGCUGUUGGGUCAAAGCCGACUUUGCUUUCACCAUUUCUCAAUAUCGGUGCUCUUGACAUGGCUAGAAAUUGAAACAGAUGCUGUUUUAUCUUAGAGGUGAAAACAAAGCACUUGAAUCCUAACAUGAUAAUCCCAGAGGAGGUAGAAACAGCACCGGAGAGAGAAAAGCCUGGAAAAGCUGCUGGACUGGACUGAGUGUUUACAGAGAAGAUCCAUGAGGUCCUGAGUACAUUUUUCAACAUGCUAUUGUUCUUCUCUACUGUGCCCAUUAUCU
rnacentral:lncRNA from 1 species